UUUGAUCGAGCCCAACCACAGCGGCCGGUCGGCCGGUCGGCCCCGCCCGUACGUAGCCAGCAGCGCCUGGGCCUC
rnacentral:antisense_RNA from 1 species